rnacentral:rRNA from 1 species
UACGUAGGGUGCAAGCGUUAAUCGGAAUUACUGGGCGUAAAGCGUGCGCAGGCGGUUUUGUAAGCCUGACGUGAAAUCCCCGGGCUUAACCUGGGAAUUGCGUUGGAGACUGCAAGGCUGGAGUCUGGCAGAGGGGGGUAGAAUUCCACGUGUAGCAGUGAAAUGCGUAGAGAUGUGGAGGAACACCGAUGGCGAAGGCAGCCCCCUGGGUCAAGACUGACGCUCAUGCACGAAAGCGUGGGGAGCAAACAGG